AACGAACGCUGGCGGCAGGCUUAACACACGCAAGUCGAGCGCCCCGCAAGGGGAGCGGCAGACGGGUGAGUAACGCGUGGGAACGUACCCUUUGCUACGGAAUAGCUCCGGGAAACUGGAAUUAAUACCGUAUGUGCCCUACGGGGGACAGAUUUAUCGGCAAAGGAUCGGCCCGCGGUGGCUUAGCUAGUUGGUGGGGUAAUGGCCUACCAAGGCGACGAUCCAUAGCUGGUGUGAGAGGAUGAUCAGCCACAUUGGGACUGAGACACGGCCAAAAAUCCUACGGGAGGCGGGAGUGGGGAAUAUUGCACAAUGGGCGCAGGGCCGAACCAGCCAUGCAGCGUGAGUGAUGAAGGCCUUAGGGUUGUAAAGCUCUUUCACCGGAGAAGAUAAUGACGGUAUCCGGAGAAGAAGCCCCGGCUAACUUCGUGCCAGCCGCCGCCGUAAGAC
rnacentral:rRNA from 1 species